rnacentral:rRNA from 1 species
GCUCAACCGAGGAAGUGCUUCGAAAACUGGUAAACUUGAGUGCAGAAGAGGAAAGUGGAACUCCAUGUGUAGCGGUGGAAUGCGUAGAUAUAUGAAAGAACACCAGUGGCGAAGGCGGCUUUCUGGUCUGUAACUGACGCUGAGAUUCGAAAGCAUGGGUAGCAAACAGGAUUAGAUACCCUGGUAGUCCAUGCCGUAAACGAUGAGUGCUAAGUGUUGGAGGGUUUCCGCCCUUCAGUGCUGCAGCUAACGCAUUAAGCACUCCGCCUGGGGAGUACGAUCGCAAGAUUGAAACUCAAAGGAAUUGACGGGGGCCCGCACAAGCGGUGGAGCAUGUGGUUUAAUUCGAAGCAACGCGAAGAACCUUACCAGGUCUUGACAUACCAUGAAAAGCUAAGAGAUUAGUCUUUCCCUUCGGGGACAUGGAUACAGGUGGUGCAUGGUUGUCGUCAGCUCGUGUCGUGAGAUGUUGGGUUAAGUCCCGCAACGAGCGCAACCCUUAUUAUCAGUUGCCAGCAUUCAGUUGGGCACUCUGGUGAGACUGCCGGUGACAAACCGGAGGAAGGUGGGGACGACGUCAAAUCAUCAUGCCCCUUAUGACCUGGGCUACACACGUGCUACAAUGGUCGGUACAACG